rnacentral:rRNA from 1 species
CCAUAUCCAUCCCUUUAUGACCUCAGUUUACCCAUUUUGUGAUGGCUACUUGGUUGCCCACUGAAGCUAAGCAGGGCUGAGCCUGGUCAGUACCUGGAUAGGAGACCUCCUGAGAAAACUAGGUUG